AAAAGCCACACUAUUCUCUGUAUUGAAGCAUGGAAAAUAGCUUUGUGAUGGCAAGUGGGGGAUUUGGCUGAAGGAGUGAGCAGGAUAAAGACCUCAGAAGACCUCACACACCAUCUAAGGCACUCAGACUGGAGGAUCCUGAUGAUAACAGGGAGUCAGUACAAACGCAGAAUCAAGAAAGAGACACAGAAGAUGCUAUUAGAAGGAUCAUGGGUUGAAGAGGGUAGGACCAGAGGCGGAGACCAAUUAGGAGGCUGUUUGAACAGCCUAGAAGGGAGAUGACCUGGCCUGAAGAGCAAUGACAGCUGGAACAGGUGUCUUGGACAUGGGAAUAGAAGCCACAUAGACUCUUCCGAGGAGUACCCAUGUGUCACUUCUGGGACAGGCAGC
rnacentral:lncRNA from 1 species